rnacentral:rRNA from 1 species
AUUGAACGCUGGCGGCAUGCUUUACACAUGCAAGUCGAACGGUAACAGGCCGCAAGGUGCUGACGAGUGGCGCACGGGUGAGUAAUGCAUCGGAACGUGCCCAGUCGUGGGGGAUAACUACUCGAAAGAGUAGCUAAUACCGCAUACGAUCUAUGGAUGAAAGCGGGGGACCGUAAGGCCUCGCGCGAUUGGAGCGGCCGAUGUCAGAUUAGGUAGUUGGUGGGGUAAAGGCUCACCAAGCCAACGAUCUGUAGCUGGUCUGAGAGGACGACCAGCCACACUGGGACUGAGACACGGCCCAGACUCCUACGGGAGGCAGCAGUGGGGAAUUUUGGACAAAGGGCGCAAGCCUGAUCCAGCAAUGCCGUGUGCAGGAAGAAGGCCUUCGGGUUGUAAACUGCUUUUGUACGGAACGAAACGGCUCUGGUUAAUACCCGGGGCUAAUGACGGUACCGUAAGAAUAAGCACCGGCUAACUACGUG